CGGAAAAGUACAGUCCAGCAAAGGACAAGUGCUUUGUGGGUUCCAAAUUUCAGCUCGCUGUGUCCUGUCAUUAUCCAAGCCGCUUAUUCUCACAAGGUUUGCAGGAAAGCUGGAGCCUAUCCCAGCUAGCUUCGGGGAAAAGGCUGAUUACACCCUAAACUGGUCAUUUGUCAGUCAGAGGGACGAUAUCAACACCAUCGCUGAGCAGGAAUCGAUCCCAUGCUGCCCGCACCAAGACAGGAGUGUUUACCACGACACCAUCAUCGUCUCUGAACGACGAGUCGGGGUGAGGGUUAGCCUCCAGACGGGAGACGACUUUGAAAAAGCUUUUGACCGAGUCUCGAAUAAACACCUUUUUAUUCUACUAGAAAAAUGUGGAUUUCCAGAAAGAUCUGGACCGAGACAUCUUUUACUUCCUCUCGGGCUCCAAGUGGGAAAGACUCAGGAGGAAGGUUCACAGCCACAAAGAAGAGUUGUCUGUGCCCACCUGAAGGAGGGAAAAGGAGCUCCACAGCAAAGGUCUUGGCAGGAAGGAGCAAAGAAAUGAACGUCGGCGACUGUCGCUGGGCACCCGCGGCAGGAUCCUGGACCAUGGUGUUUGGGAGUGUGGGAUGAGGCCCACUUAGUAAAUCAUCAUUAGAAUUAGAAAAUUAGAUCAUUAGAAGAAAAUGAAGAUUUUAGUGCGGUAUUCAGUGCCUUGUUUUUUUUUAAAGCUUGGACAGUAUAACUGGAUUUUGCUUGAACACUUGGAGGAUGGA